GGCUGGGCUGAAGGUAGCGAGUUGUCUUGAUUGAUGGCUCACAGUCAGUUACAGACGGAACUCCUUCCUCCACUCUUUCCCCAGCCCUCACUGCUGCACUUGACUAGUCUUGA
ensembl:misc_RNA Y_RNA Y RNA